GCGGAAGUGGCGGAAUUGGUAGACGCGCUGGCUUCAGGUGCCAGUGGGGGCAACCUCGUGGGGGUUCGAGUCCCCCCUUCCGCACCA
rnacentral:tRNA from 1 species